GCCUUCGUGGUGUAGUGGUCAGCACGCUGGGCGCGUAUUCCAGAGGUCCGUGGUUCGAGUCUCGGCGAAGGCG
rnacentral:tRNA from 1 species